rnacentral:rRNA from 1 species
AACCUCCGCAAUGUGAGCAAUCGCGACGGGGGGAUCCCAAGUGCCAUUCUUAACGGGAUGGCUUUUCUUAAGUGUAAAGAGCUUUUGGAAUAAGAGCUGGGCAAGACCGGUGCCAGCCGCCGCGGUAACACCGGCAGCUCUAGUGGUAGCUGUUUUUAUUGGGCCUAAAGCGUUCGUAGCCGGUUUAAUAAGUCUUUGGUGAAAUCCUGUAGCUUAACUAUGGGAAUUGCUGAGGAUACUGUUAGGCUUGAGGUCGGGAGAGGUUAGCGGUACUCCCAGGGUAGGGGUGAAAUCCUGUAAUCCUGGGAGGACCACCUGUGGCGAAGGCGGCUAACUGGAACGAACCUGACGGUGAGGGACGAAAGCUAGGGGCGCGAACCGG